rnacentral:rRNA from 1 species
UACGGAGGGGGCGAGUGUUGUUCGGAAUUACUGGGCGUAAAGGGCGCGCAGGCGGCCUGGCAAGUCGAGUGUGAAAUCCCUCGGCUUAACUGAGGAAUGGCGCUCGAAACUACCUCGCUGGAGGGCGGGAGAGGGAAGUGGAAUUCCCAGUGUAGCGGUGAAAUGCGUAGAUAUUGGGAGGAACACCAGUGGCGAAGGCGGCUCACUGGCCCGGUACUGACGCUGAGGUGCGAAAGCGUGGGGAGCAAACAGG